UGUCCAGCUGCACCAUGAUAAAUAAAAAUCUUAACCAAACAAACCUUUUUUAGCAGUUAAAGAUGGUAUUGAACAUUGACAAAUCCAAUUCUUGCAUUGAGUUUGAGCAUUAACCUCAACAAGUGAACCAAAGCAAGGAACUUUCCCAUCCUAACAAAUGCUCCAUUUUCCUGCCAUAUUAAUGUUAUAAGUUCUUAAGCUGCAUGGAGCAACAUAAUAAUAAACAGUUCUAUACUCUCUGUUUGCUUCCACCCUCUUCUUUUCCCCUUUCUUUUACUCUUAGAGACAAGAACUUUAUUAGAGAAAAAAAUGAUAGUACGUUGGAAUUUGGGCAUCCCUCUAGGCACAGUUUCAUAAGUGCUUAGAAUUUCACAUAUGUUUCUCUGCACACAUUUAAUAAACCUAAGGCUGCAUUACAUUUCCAUCCUAACCACAGAAUUUACUUCUUGGUGCCAAACUUACAGAUAUUUUGCUAUUUUAGGCAUCCCAAUAACUAUCUUUGCAACAAGGAUUCAUAAUUUUGAUUAAUACAAUUUAUGUUUCUAGUUUGUUUAACUUCUUCCUUUUCUUUUUCUUUUUUUCUAAUUUAAUCAUCAAAUAAUCUGUCUCUUUCUUAAUUCUGCAUUGCUAUACUUUAUCCUACAAGGACCAACAGAUUACAAUGAAGUAGGAAGUAGGAUGAUAUAAUAAUAUCCAUAUACAUUUCCCACAUGCUUCCCAAUCUACUUACUAGUCAGCCCAAGGGGUCAUAUCACAUGCACAAUAGUAAUUUGGAAACCACAUAUAAUGCAUACUCACAAAAGUUCCUGGUAUUAAGCAUAAAAAACAUUAAGGUUAUGAAAGGGGAAAUUCUAGGAUUUUAAAAGAAAACAGAACAUAGAGGAAAAUAGGGCCAGCAGAGAGCAGAAGAAGAACAAAGGCAACAGCAACCAGAAAGAAGCAGCAUCAUGGUUCUCAACUAUUCAUUCUUACUCCCAAGGAUCAUGCCCAUCUGUUAACGGAUUGAAGGUGGAAUCCUGCCCCCAGUUGAAUUGCUAGAGUUUAUUGACUCAAAAGUCCAGAGAGCAGAAGCAGGAGCCCUACGAACCCUUGCCUUUAAAAAUGAUGAGAACAAAAAUUAGGUUGACUACUUUCUCUGAUUCACCGAACUCAUUUGAGGAUCUAAAUAAAAUUUUAAUUUAUUAUGCAGUUUGUGUUUUGAAAUUAUAAAUCUGCAGAUUGUGGAAUGCAAUGCUCUACAUACUCUUAUUCUAUUGCUUCGGUCUAAGGAUGCUGCCAUACAUUAUGACGCAGUUGGCUCUAAUUUUAAUCUAUAUCAUUCAAUCUUGAACUUUACAUACAUUUGGGACAUUUUUUUAUUACUUCAUAUUGCCGGAACCCAGAAUCACUAAUUGACCUCUGAAUUUUUUGUCAGGUUGGUGUGAUUGGGAAUCUGGUGCAUUCAUCCCCAAAUAUUAAGAGAGAAGUUCUGCUUGCUGGAGCUUUACAACCUGUUAUCAGUUUACUCAGGUACUAAUCUUUCACUCAAUUUGACUUUGUUGAAUCAUUUUUGUUUCAUUGACUGUAUGUUUUUGUUAGUUGUUGGUUGUAUUUUAUCCUAAACUUUCUUCGAACAGGUGUCUGCAAAAGCACAAAAAGUAACAAAAACCCAUGCUUUCUUUUUAAUUUUCUUCUUCUUUAACUCAAUUUUCUGCCAGUCAAAUGGAUUUAAGCGAGAAAUAAAUGAAAAUUCAAGGGAGU